rnacentral:rRNA from 1 species
CCUACGGGCGGCAGCAGUGGGGAAUAUUGGACAAUGGGGGGAACCCUGAUCCAGCCAUGCCGCGUGUGUGAAGAAGGCCCUCGGGUUGUAAAGCACUAUCAGUGAGGAAGAACGCCUGGUGGUUAAUACCCAUCAGGAAAGACAUCACUCACAGAAGAAGCACCGGCUAACUCCGUGCCAGCAGCCGCGGUAAUACGGAGGGUGCGAGCGUUAAUCGGAAUUACUGGGCGUAAAGCGCGCGUAGGUGGCUUGAUAAGCCGGUUGUGAAAGCCCCGGGCUCAACCUGGGAACGGCAUCCGGAACUGUCAAGCUAGAGUGCAGGAGAGGAAGGUAGAAUUCCCGGUGUAGCGGUGAAAUGCGUAGAGAUCGGGAGGAAUACCAGUGGCGAAGGCGGCCUUCUGGACUGACACUGACACUGAGGUGCGAAAGCGUGGGUAGCAAACAGGAUUAGAUACCCGAGUAGUC